ACACCAUUGAGGUGGUCCUGGGAGGGGAGGAGAAGCAGUGGUUGACAGUGUCUUAGCAGGCGUGGACUGGGAUGUUGAAGGGCCAAAAGCGACAAAACUGCAAUUCAAGUAUUCAACCUACUUCUUCUCCUGGCAUUCACCUGAGGAUUUCAGUCUUAACUCUGUUUCCACUCAGGAGUUACACGUGAAUAGGCAAGAGGAUGGGAGGGGCAACAGACAGCAGACUCAACCCAAGUGAUGCUAAAGGACCUUCUGCUCCCUAUGACAUCAUGGUUAGCAAUAAAAUCUGGGGAAAGGAA